rnacentral:rRNA from 1 species
UACAGAGGGUGCGAGCGUUAAUCGGAAUUACUGGGCGUAAAGCGCACGUAGGCGGCUUGGUAUGUCGGGUGUGAAAUCCCCGGGCUCAACCUGGGAACUGCAUCCGAAACUGCCUUGCUCGAGUAUGGGAGAGGGAAGUGGAAUUUACGGUGUAGCAGUGAAAUGCGUAGAGAUCGUAAGGAAGACCAGUGGCGAAGGCGGGUCUCUGGACAGUUCCUGACACUGAGGCACGAAGGCCAGGGGAGCAAACGGG